rnacentral:rRNA from 1 species
UACGUAGGUGACAAGCGUUGUCCGGAUUUACUGGGCGUAAAGAGCGCGCAGGCGGUCGAUCAAGUCGAGUGUGAAAGCCCCCGGCUCAACUGGGGAGGGUCAUUCGAUACCGAUCGACUCGAAGGCAGGAGAGGGUAGUGGAAUUCCCGGUGUAGUGGUGAACUGCGUAGAUAUCGGGAGGAACACCAGUGGCGAAGGCGACUACCUGGCCUGUUCUUGACGCUGAGGCGCGAAAGCUAGGGGAGCAAACGGG